rnacentral:rRNA from 1 species
UUAGCUAAAUUAUUAUUAUUAUUAUAUUGUUUUAUAUUUAUUUUAAUAAAGUAGCUUUUUUUUUAUUAAUUUUAUUGAAAAAAUAGUUUUUAUUAUAGUUUAUGAGUACUGUGAAGGAAUUAAUUGUUUUUAUUGAAAGGAGAAUUGAUUUGUUGUACCUUGUGUAUCAGGGUUAGUUUAAUUAAUUUUAAGUAUUUUAAUUUUCCCGAAUUUAGAAGAUCUAUGUUUUUGUAUUUUUUAUUGUUUUAUAAAUAUUAAUUACAAAUUUAUUGAAGUGAAAUGCUAUACGAUUCUAGUUAUAUCUGGUUACCUAAGAAAUAAAUUUAAUUUAUUUUUUAUUUAAUAAUUUUUUUACUUAUUAAUUAAUUAUUAUUAAAGUUAUAUAAUUAGUGGGAUGAGCUAUUAAUUUUAUUUAUAUAAUUGGUUUUAAUAAAUUUUAGUACUUGAAUUAAAGGUUUUUAUUUUUAGUGUGUUGCAACUAACUAAAUUAAAUAUUUAUUAUUUAUAUUUUAUUUAUAUUUUUUAUUAGGUUAAAUUUUUUAAUGUAAUUAGUUUUGUAAUUAUGAUUAAAUUAGUAAAUUUUUAUGUUUUUAUUAAUUAAUAAUUUUAGUUAAUAAAAAGGAAUUCGGCAAAUUGUUUUCUACCUGUUUAUUAAAAACAUGGCCUUGAGAUUAUAAUUUUAGGUCUGGCCUGCCCAAUGAAUUAUUUUAAUGGCCGCGGUAUUUUGACUGUGCUAAGGUAGCAUAAUCAUUAGUUUUUUAAUUGAAAGCUGGAAUGAAGGGUUGGAUGAGAAAAAUACUGUCUCUUUAUUAAAUUUUGAAUUUUAUUUUUAAGUUAAAAAGCUUAAAUUUAUAAGGAAGACGAGAAGACCCUAUAGAGUUUUAGAUUAUUUUUAUAUAUUUAAUUUUUAGAAUUUUAAUUUUUAUUUGAGUGAUUUUUAAUUGGGGUGAUUAAAAAAUUUAAUUAACUUUUUUUAUAAUAUACAUUUGUUUGUGGGUGUUUGAUCCUUUAUUUUGAUUAAAAGAAUAAAUUACCUUAGGGAUAACAGCGUAAUUUUUUUUGAGAGUUCUUAUCGAAAAAAGAGUUUGCGACCUCGAUGUUGGAUUAAAAUUUUACCUUGGUGGAGAAGUUAAGGUUUUAGGUCUGUUCGACCUUUAAAAUUUUACAUGAUCUGAGUUUAAACCGGUGUGAGCCAGGUUGGUUUCUAUCUCUUUAAAUAUAAAAUUUUUUAGUACGAAAGGACCAGGAAUU